CGUUAUCUACUGCGACAUCUAGAGAAUGCAGUCUUGCAAGACUACUCUGGACCGAGCAGCUGACCCCUUCUUCCACCUCCCCUUCUCACUGUCUCUUUUGCCUAAUAAAUAUGAAGGGCUGUGUAAAGCUCAGGGCCCUUGUCCCCUAGAGGCAAAGCGCCCCCGAUCCCUUCUUCCAAAUACACUCUUUUGUCUCAUCUUUAUUCCCGUGUUCACCCCACUUUGUUUAGUCCACCUAGGUCCGUGCAGGUUACAAAUGGCAACCAGAACAGGGACUCCAAGCACGCCCAACUAGCAGCAUCCAAACAUGGGACUUCAAGGACGUGAAUGAAGAAGGUCUGCUGGAGCAGAGGAACUGAAAUUGACAAGGCGAAAGGGGACCCUGGGAAGAGUCUGCCGGCAGCAGAUAUAAGUCUGUAAAAUCGGAUGGACCACCAAUUGGAGAAUGAGAGCCUCCCAGCCCAGCCUUACAUUCUUUCAAUUAAUACAUAAACAGAAAGGGGGAUAUGCAGGGAGCCAAAGGCCUGUGGGACGUGACCAACUCAGCAUUCUGCUGGAGGCUAUAUGAUCAAACAGCAAACUGUUUAUCAUGAAUACAGGAUGUGAGCAAACUCAGGACUGCUCCUGCCAACAUAAGGUUUGCUGGAGGCAAUCACUCCCUGGCACCGAGGUUAUCUACUGCGACAUCUAGAGAAUGCAGUCUUGCAAGCCUACUCUGAACUGAGCAGCCGACCCCUUCUUCCACCCCCCCACCCUCCUAUCUCUUUUGCCUAAUAAAUACGGAGGGCUGUGUAAAGCUCAGGGCCCUUGUCCACUAGAGGUAAGGUGCUCC
rnacentral:lncRNA from 1 species